GAUGAAGAACGCAGCGAAAUGCGAUAAGUAGUGUGAAUUGCAGAAUUCGGUGAAUCAUCGAAUCUUUGAACGCACAUUGCGCCCCUUGGUAUUCCAUGGGGCAUGCCUGUUCGAGCGUCAUUUGUACCUUCAAGCCUUGCUUGGUGUUGGGUGUUUGUCUCGCCUCUGCGCGCAGACUCGCCUCAAAACAAUUGGCAGCCGGCGUAUUGAUUUCGGAGCGCAGUACAUCUCGCGCUUUGCACUCAGAACGACGACGUCCAAAAGUACAUUUUUACACUCUUGACCUCGGAUCAGGUAGGGAUACCCGCUGAACUUAAGCAUAUCAAUAAGCGGAGGA
rnacentral:misc_RNA from 1 species